rnacentral:rRNA from 1 species
UCUACGGGUGGCAGCAGUGAGGAAUAUUGGGCAAUGGACGAGAGUCUGAACCAGCCAAGUAGCGUGAAGGAUGACUGCCCUAUGGGUUGUAAACUUCUUUUAUAUGGGAGUAAAAUGUUCCACGUGUGGGAUUUUGUAUGUACCAUAUGAAUAAGGAACGGCUAACUCCGGGCCAGCAGCAGCGGUAAUACGGCGGCUGCGAGCGUUAUCCGGAUUUAGUGGGGUUAAAGGGAGCGCAGGUGGAUUGUUAAGUGAGGGGGUAAAGUUUGCGGCGCAAACGUAAAAUUGCAGUUGAAACUGGCAGUCUUGAGUACAGGAGAGGGGGGCGGAAUUCGUGGUGUAGCGGUGAAAUGCUAAGAUAUCACGAAGAACUCCGAUUGCGAAGGCAGCUCACUGGACUGCAACUGACACUGAGGCUCGAAAGUGUGGGUAUCAAACAGGAUUAGAUACCCGGGUAGUC